rnacentral:rRNA from 1 species
GAGGAGUGGCGAACGGGUGAGUAACACGUGGGUAACCUGCCCAUCAGAAGGGGAUAACACUUGGAAACAGGUGCUAAUACCGUAUAACAAUCGAAACCGCAUGGUUUUGAUUUGAAAGGCGCUUUCGGGUGUCGCUGAUGGAUGGACCCGCGGUGCAUUAGCUAGUUGGUGAGGUAACGGCUCACCAAGGCGACGAUGCAUAGCCGACCUGAGAGGGUGAUCGGCCACAUUGGGACUGAGACACGGCCCAAACUCCUACGGGAGGCAGCAGUAGGGAAUCUUCGGCAAUGGACGAAAGUCUGACCGAGCAACGCCGCGUGAGUGAAGAAGGUUUUCGGAUCGUAAAACUCUGUUGUUAGAGAAGAACAAGGAUGAGAGUAACUGUUCAUCCCUUGACGGUAUCUAACCAGAAAGCCACGGCUAACUACGUGCCAGCAGCCGCGGUAAUACGUAGGUGGCAAGCGUUGUCCGGAUUUAUUGGGCGUAAAGCGAGCGCAGGCGGUUUCUUAAGUCUGAUGUGAAAGCCCCCGGCUCAACCGGGGAGGGUCAUUGGAAACUGGGAGACUUGAGUGCAGAAGAGGAGAGUGGAAUUCCAUGUGUAGCGGUGAAAUGCGUAGAUAUAUGGAGGAACACCAGUGGCGAAGGCGGCUCUCUGGUCUGUAACUGACGCUGAGGCUCGAAAGCGUGGGGAGCAAACAGGAUUAGAUACCCUGGUAGUCCACGCCGUAAACGAUGAGUGCUAAGUGUUGGAGGGUUUCCGCCCUUCAGUGCUGCAGCUAACGCAU